rnacentral:rRNA from 1 species
UACGUAGGGGGCAAGCGUUGUCCGGAAUCAUUGGGCGUAAAGAGCGUGUAGGCGGCUCGAUAAGUCUGCUGUGAAAGUCCAGGGCUCAACCCUGGAAGGCCGGUGGAAACUGUCGGGCUAGAGUCCGGAAGAGGCGAGUGGAAUUCCCGGUGUAGCGGUGAAAUGCGCAGAUAUCGGGAGGAACACCAAUGGCGAAGGCAGCUCGCUGGGACGGUACUGACGCUGAGACGCGAAAGCGUGGAGAGCAAACAGG